rnacentral:tRNA from 1 species
GGGAUUAUAGCUCAGUGGUAGAGUGCAUGCCUAGCAUGCACCAGGUUCUGGGUUCAAUCCCUAGUACCUCCA